AAUUAUCACUUCAUACUGAAACAAGGGUUUGAUCUUUUCAUGAGAUGUAUGGUGAUGAAAUUAAGGCCAGGGGCUCUGGGGACAGAAGAGAAGGCUGGCGCCACUCGUAUGCCCUGGAGAAACAGUGAGAUGAAGAGCACAGCCUCUAGAGCCAGAGUGUCUGGAUCUAAAAUUGGCUCUGCCAACAAGCAUAAUUGAAAAUUAAGAAUGCCAUGUAAAGCAAGGUGAAAAAGGCAGGGGUGUACACAUCAAUCCCAGAUCCAGGGAGCCAACAUCUUUAAGUAGACUUCUUCAGAUGGCCUGUGGGGUACCACAGAGCUUACAGAACAACUUAAGAUCACUCCAAACCAGAGUCAAAGACAUCCCUGCCACGCAGCACAUAGAUUUAUAACUCUGGUCAAAGGUUUCGACAAAUACAGAUUUCUUCAAUCCGAAGUCCAUCUGUGUGUGUUCCCAGAAAUAAAGAACAGUGCAUGUCUAUCUCCCUCUCUCUAAUCCGUAGAGGUAGCAAGGGCAGGAGAAUUGAAUUCCCAAAAGGACUUCUUAUAGCUCUGGUGACAAUUACCAUCUCAAACAGGCUGGUGCUACCUUGGGGACACAUGUGGACUUUAUUUUUUGCUCUCUUUUUUCAAACUGAGGUAGUGUCAGCACUGACACAGACAGUCCAGAGAAAAGAAACUGUGUCUGCUGUCAUGUUUAUUUAGUUGGUAUAAGUGGAAAGAUCAUAACCUGAAGUUUUGAUGAAAACACACUUCUUGCUCAGAUAAUCCAUUAUGUCAUUGAUUAGUUCUGCUAAGAGAAAGCGAAUGGGUUAAAGAAACAAAAAAGACAACAAGAUGUGGGAUUAGGUCUGGGGAUGUGGAGCAUGUAGGGAACAUCAUAAAAUUUCUGAUUUCAUAUCUGGGACCUGGGUACAUGAUCUGAGACAUAAAUUUGAAUGUUCAACAGCCAAAUUAUCCUGCCCCCUAGACAUAACCUCCCAUGAUGCAAAGCAACAGGGAAGGUGCAUGAAUUCUUUCAGGCUCUAUGAAUGUCCCUGAGCAAUCUGUUUCUUUAGCAUCUUACAUAAACAUGGCUGGAAUGACAAAAGCUCACCAGGGUGCCUAUGGGGAAGGGGUGCAGUUCCAAUGCCUGAAGUCUCUGUGACAACACCAAGGGAAAAACAUUGGAAUGGAAGCCAAUAUAAUGAUAUUGAACCCGCUCAAGUGAGCAGUUUUGUGGAAGGCAUCCAUUUUGGAGCUGAGCUCAAAUACUACUGGAGCUCAGUAUUGUAGAACAGCCUGAUUCACCACCAGGUCUGCAGUAGAGUCCAGGUAUGGCAUUACCCUUUGAUUUACCUAAUCUGGGAAGAAGCCAAUUGGCCUAUGGAACACCUGAAAGUAAAACACUGCCCACCAGAGAUGAGAAACUUUGCCUGCCUAUAAACUCUGAUAAGAUGCCCUUGAUAACUGAAAACCACAGGAAUGCCAACAAUAAGUCUCAGUUAUUGAGAAGUUUGCUGUCCAGUGGGAAAGGCAGGUAAUAACAAUCCUCAAAAAUAAUACAUUAAGUGCUAUACUAAGGGUAUAUCCAGGGUGCUGUCAGAAUGCAGAAGAGGCAGUACCUAAUCCAGCCUGACAGUGAGGGUCAGGGAAGGCUGCCACUAUAUCUAGAUUUAAGAAAUUCAGAGCACAGUUGACAUAGCUUGUCUUAAGGAUGACACUUGGCCUUCUAAAUAAAUCAAACUUUUCCCAGAACCAUUUCAAAGGACUUAGCUCUGUGUAUCCAUCUGCAUUCCCAGUGAAUGGAAGAAAGGUCAGAAAUGAGUUAAUGCUCAUACACUGGCCUGUGCCACUGUUUUAAAUCUAUUGUCACUGCUUUGUCUGCUGAAUUAGUAUUCCUCCCUACCUGAUUUUCUUUAACAAGCCAGUUCUUUGUGUCUUCCAAUAUCCUUCUCUUCAUAUAAUUUCAAAACAGAUCUCCGUCUAACCACUUAAAUUGUUUAGCUUCAUGUGACAUGUCUUCUGGAGGCUAACAGCAUAAUUGCUUUAGAUAAUUUUUUUUUGUUUACAUUAUGUAAGAUUUUACUUCACUUGACAUUUGCUAUUUUCCCUUCCCUACCUUCUGUAUACUUCAAGGAAUUCUGAACUGUCAGUGCUCACACAGCAUAAGCCUGGCACUUAUUUUCAGUAUGAUAUGUCACUUCAUAACAAAAAACCUAGAAACAUAUUCAUUUCCUGUAAAAUUAUCUGAGUUGAGUGAGUUUAAAGUUGGAGAAUGGGCUCUACCUGGGGCUACAGAGAGAGCUCAAGCCCCUAAAAGUGAAUGUCAUCCUCUCAUGCCCUGAUGAAGCUGUUUAUUUUCCAUGACGUAGCACUUUCCAUCCAGGACAAGGUCUGACCAGCCUGGCUCACGACAAAAUUAGACUGGAUAUUGGCAUCCUCUUAUCUUUUUGUCUUUUCUCAUUGGUAUUGUUCACGUGUCCAUUAUUCCUCUGGUCUGGAGAGGCUGAAAGAACUCAGGAAUUACAAGGAUGGACCUUUCAGUUGCAGGCUGUGGACCUAUAGUAGGUCCUUUAGAGUGGGAUGAUUUGUUGUUGAGUAAGGGCCUUGCUCAAGCAUUGUCAGCCCAAGCUUGGACACAAUGCAGGGUCACUUCGGUUCUCCUGGAAAUGAGAAUAGUGGUAGCCAGUGGAGAGACUAUUUUUGGAAUAACAUUUCCAAAGGCCAUUUCCACUUCAAAAAUAAAUAUUAUGCACGAACUGGUAUGAUUAUGUAGAUUUUCAUGUUGGAUCUGUUAAUAUGAUAGAUUAUACUGACAGAUUUUUAAACUGCUUUAUUGAGAUAUAAUCCACGUACCCUACAAUUCACACAAUUAAAGGAUACAAUUCAGUGGUUUUUAGUACAAUCACAGAGUUGUGCAACUGUCACCACAACUUAAUUUUAGAACAUUUUCAUCACCUUCAAAAGAAAUGCCAUACCCAAUAGCCAUUACCACCACAUCUCCCAUUUACGCAAGCCCUAGGCAAUCAAUAAUCUACUUUCUGUCUCUAUAGAUUUUUCCUCAUUCUGGACAUUUCACAUAAAUGGAAUUAUAUAGUAUGUAG
rnacentral:lncRNA from 1 species